GACGAACGCUGGCGGCGUGCUUAACACAUGCAAGUCGAACGGUAAGGCCCUUCGGGGUACACGAGUGGCGAACGGGUGAGUAACACGUGGGUGAUCUGCCCUGCACUUCGGGAUAAGCCUGGGAAACUGGGUCUAAUACCGGAUAGGACUCCGGACUGCAUGGUCUGGGGUGGAAAGCUUUUGCGGUGUGGGACGGGCCCGCGGCCGAUCAGCUUGUUGGUGGGGUGAUGGCCUACCAAGGCGACGACGGGUAGCCGGCCUGAGAGGGUGACCGGCCACACUGGGACUGAGAUACGGCCCAGACUCCUACGGGAGGCAGCAGUGGGGAAUAUUGCACAAUGGGCGCAAGCCUGAUGCAGCGACGCCGCGUGAGGGAUGACGGCCUUCGGGUUGUAAACCUCUUUCAGCACAGACGAAGCGCAAGUGACGGUAUGUGCAGAAGAAGGACCGGCCAACUACGUGCCAGCCGCCGCGGUAA
rnacentral:rRNA from 1 species